rnacentral:rRNA from 1 species
GACGAAGGGCUCGACUGUUAUUCGUUUUGAUUGGGUGUAAAGGGUGAGUAGGCGGUUAAUCGUAAAAUUUUGAGUCAAAGCGCGGAGUGUUCCUCCGCGAAAGCUCGAUUUAAAGGAUUUGACUAGUGUUGAUAAGGGGGUUUAGGCAAUUUCGUACGUAGGAGUAAAAUCCAUCGAUGUACGAACGAACGCCAGCUGGCGAAGGCGCUUUUCCUAUUUCAACAGACGCUGAGGCACGGAAGCGUAGGGAGCAAACGGGG